GUGUCAGCCGCCGCGGUAAUACGUAUGGGGCAAGCGUUGUUCGGAUUUAUUGGGCGUAAAGGGCGUGUAGGCGGCGCGCGGCGUCCGGUGUGAAAACGCAGGGCUCAACCCUGCGGUUGCGCUGGAAACGGGCGUGCUCGAGUCCCGGGGGGGAAGCUGGAAUUCCUGGUGUAGGAGUGAAAUCUGUAGAGAUCAGGAAGAACACCGGUGGCGAAGGCGAGCUUCUAUUCGAGGACUGACGCUGAGGCGCGAAAGCGUGGGGAGCAAACAGGAUUAGAUACCCUGGUAGUCCACGCUGUAAACGAUGUGCACUAGGCGUGGGACACGUCGGUGUUCUGUGCCGUAGCCAACGCGAUAAGUGCACCGCCUGGGGAGUAUGCUCGCAAGGGUGAAACUUAAAUGAAUUGACGGGG
rnacentral:rRNA from 1 species